rnacentral:rRNA from 1 species
UACGGAGGGUGCGAGCGUUGUCCGGAAUCACUGGGCGUAAAGGGCGCGUAGGCGGCCUGAUAAGUAGGGGGUGAAAUCCUGCGGCUUAACCGCAGGGCUGCCUUCUAAACUGUCAGGCUCGAGCACAGUAGAGGCAGGUGGAAUCCCCGGUGUAGCGGUGGAAUGCGUAGAGAUCGGGAAGAACAUCAGUGGCGAAGGCGGCCUGCUGGGCUGUUGCUGACGCUGAGGCGCGACAGCGUGGGGAGCAAACAGG